rnacentral:lncRNA from 1 species
CCUUCCCCACCUUCCGGCCUCACUUGAGAUGUGAUCUUCUCUGACCAUCUUAGCUGAAGUUGGCCUCCUCUCCCUUAAUCUCCAUUGAGCUAAACAGUUUCUUUCAUCUAGAACUUACUAUAGUAAUUAUGUGUUUACUAGUUCACUGUCUGGAAUCGUUUACCCUAGAGCAGUCUACGAUGUAAAGCCAGGAUGGUCAAACUACAGCGCAAGCUUUGUUUUUGCAAAGCUCUGGAGAAAGGUUGGAAGGUGAGAAGGAAAUGAGCUACCAUGUUAUCCUGAUC